rnacentral:rRNA from 1 species
GGAUUAGAUACCCUGGUAGUCCACGCCCUAAACGAUGAUUACUCGACAUACGCGAUACACUGUGUGUGUCUGAGCGAAAGCAUUAAGUAAUCCACCUGGGAAGUACGUCCGCAAGGAUGAAACUCAAAGGAAUUGACGGGGGUCCGCACAAGCGGUGGAGUAUGUGGUUUAAUUCGAUGAUACGCGAGGAACCUUACCUGGGCUAGAAUGCUAGGGGCCCGAUCCUGAAAGGGAUCUUUGUAGCAAUACAUCGCUAGCAAGGUGCUGCAUGGCUGUCGUCAGCUCGUGUCG